GUGACAGCACUUGAAGAUGAAUUCCUGUAUUUUUCUGCAGUUGUACAGCAGGAGACAACGGCAAGGCAUGCUUCUCUCACAAAUAUGUCUGAACCCUGACCUAGAUAGAUCACCUUUAGAGAUGAGCCUCUGUGCCCAUUCAAUCCUUGACCUCC
rnacentral:sRNA from 1 species